UGCCUUGGCCUUUAUUAAAGGGUCCCCUCCCCAGUCUACUGAGGAAUGGACAGGAGAGAAAUAACAUUGUCUUCAACCUACAGUAUCAUAUGAAUAGGUGUGAGGAUCAGAAUCUGGAUACCCAGCACCUAUGAGAAUUCUGUAUGAACUUGGAAGUUCAUAAUUACAUAAAGCUUGUAAUCCCAGCACUUGGGAUGGGGAGAGAGCAGAUCCCCAGAGCAAGUUGGCGAGCUAGACCAGCCAAUUCGGCAAACCUGAGGUCCAAGUGAGAGACCCUGCCUCACCACCCACCCAUCAACCAUCCAGCACAUUCUACAAUGCUCAACUACUGUGUGGUGUUUUGAGCAUCGUGCCAGGUGGUGAGUAUGCCAAAGUCAGCAAAACCAGACACACACCCCACCUCAUGGAAUCCACCAUCUGGUGGAAGGAGAAAGACAUUAAUCAAGGAAGUACAAGGAUCACUACACACUCUCGGUCGAGAUGAGUGUUAGAGUUCUCGAACUGGUUCACAGCCUCAAGUCACAUACCUGGAUGGGAGGGUGCUAAUAAACUUGGCAACAGUAAAAGA